rnacentral:lncRNA from 1 species
UCGUCAUGGCGACGGGCACGCUAACACUCCAGUGCCCGUCAGGGGGUCUGUUCCCUGGACUGCAGGGACGAUGGCGCAGAAUCUGUACUGUCCACGAGUGCGGAUGGGAAACUGGAACGAGGACAUCUACUUGGAGGAGGUAUGGAGGGCGUGGCCAGAUGUGGACUGGAACUCCCGAACCCAGCCCAAAGUCCGGCUUCAACUCUGGCUUCCAGCACCCCAGCCUCCUCUCUCCCCCCAGCACACACCAAAUACCCCCCAACCCACCUUCUGGACUGUCCUGCAAGCCCAGGGCUCAUGGGGCUUCUACUCUAAGCACUCUGACGCCCCUUAUAAACUCGGGUGCCUUGCUCUUCCCCUAUGCCCCCCACUUAGGUCAGAGUUCCACUACACUCUCCUGGGCCCUUGGUAGCUAAAGUCUUGAGGCUUCAGAAAGGCAAGCAGGAACCUCUAAAUGCAAUUAGUGUCCCUUUCCUCUCCUCAGCCUGAUGGCCCAGGCCUUCCGGAGGGACAACGGAAAUAUCCCCUUUACUCACGGUGUAUUCAUUGCCUCGCGUUCUCAAACGUCCCUCUUAACAAACCUCUGGGGGAGGGGUGGGCUUUCCGUCCCCAUCCUACAACCCGGGGGUGGGGGGGACCUCAGAAGGGGCGAGAGAGCCUCCAGUUUCUACUCUCGAUUGUCGCUGGCUGGAAUAAUUACAGCUUUGCGUCUUUCUCCCUUUUCUAAACAUUCUCCAGUGACAUAAAGUAUUAAAGUAAUGCUAAAACAUUUUCCCACCACUCUAUUAUGCUCACAUUUCCUUUUCUAUUCUCACAGUUCGCUCUUUCUACUUGAGAUUCUUCUGACUUAAAAGCUACCACUGUUCUAUUUAGGGCUAUUGUCCAUACUUUGGAAUUCAUUCUUUUUCUCCUUAAUCAGGAAUACAUGAAAGACUUUUUAGACAAGAGAGAGAAGGGGAAACUUCUCAUUCAGAGAAACAGAAGACUGAAAAAGAAUCUUUUGAGACCGGUAAUUUAAAAUUCCAACAUUGUUUUCAAAAUUUUGUCGAAUUAAGUGUGAGUAUACGUUAAGCAAGAAAAAAUAACAUUUUUUCCCCAUGUAAAAGUCACAGUGCUUAAAAUUCCUUAACAUUUUAGAAACACAAAGGAAGACUGCUCUUCAUUACGUUUACUUGCAUUUUCCAAAUAAAUAAAUCAAUAGAUUAAUAAUAAUUAAGAUACAUCGUGUUGCUCAGGAAAUUCUCAAUGAAAAUUAAAUUAAUAAUGGAGUUGACACAUUUGAUUUUUCGCUGGCUUUGUCUGGCAUUAUUUGGGAUUGCUGGGAAUUUGGCAUUGGCAAAGUAGAAGGGAAUGGAAGAAAACUCAGGAUUUGAGGGAAUCCAUGUGGGUGCUAGUCUGAGAAGGAAAGAGGGUACACCUGGGAGUGGCCAUGGCCCUGGCUAUUCAGGAAUUGUCUGUUUUUUUUUUUUUUUUUGACAAAUUCUUAUUAAAAUUGUAGAUGCAGCUUUCCAUAUCUGAAGAUGGAUAUAUUCAUUAUGGAGACAAAGUGAUGCUUUUAAAUCCCAACUAUCCUGAGAAGGAAGAAGCUGGUUUGUUUCAGUGUGGGGACCUGAGCCUUUGCAUGACUCCAGAUGAAAUUUCAACUCACUUGUAUGAUGAAUUAGAGGUGCCCUGUGGCCUGAGUGCAACUACAACCAGGAUCCCAGUUGGCAGAAACACUUUUACUAUUUUGAGGUAGAGAUGAUUUGAUUUUCAGUUUUAUAACCAUAGUGUCUGUUUUCACUUGUAGCUUAAGGAUGCCCUGGGAUGGCGCAAUGCUGGCAGGAGGCAAAAGAUAUGUGAACGUUUUCUGGGGUCUCAUCAUGCUGGCUUAACCUUGAGAAUUAUUAGCCUUUACAAUCAUUUUUACCUUAGUAGGAUAAUUGGUAACUUGGGCUCAUUUCAAAAUGUUUGCUUCAUAAUUAUUGGAACCAGGGAAUCAAAUUUGCAUUCUGCUUGAUGCAAAGUGGAGUUUUCUUUUGUUCUUUUGAUACGAACUUUUAUUUUUUAUCUUUUUUCCUCUUUCCAUAUUUUUUAUUGGUGCAUUAUAGUUGUACAUAAUGAUGGAAUUUAUGUGCAUGUGUGAAUAUGUAACAACAAUAUAACAAUAUAAUUAGGCCAAUAUUACACCCCUGUACUCCCCUGCCCCCCCACCACCACUCCCUUCUGCCUUCUGCUCCCUUUCCUCUACUGAUCUCCUUUUGAUUUUUUAAAGCUUUCUAAUAACACAGAAACUUUGAAUUCAUCUGAGUGAUAUUGUCAUUCUUAAUGAAUGUUGUUGUUAUUUUUACAACAAAAAUUAGUUUGAUACAAGUUGGUGGUAGAUGGAAUUUGCUCUUUAAAAAUUAAAUGUCCAUUAAAAUGUACAACCUGCAUUUUAAGAGGAAAGAUUGUAUUAAAUAUCUAUGAAUGUGCUACCUUGGUUACCUCCAAAAAUGUCAAUGCAUUUUACCAGAAUUUCUUAGUGUACAUUAGCAUAAUGUGCUUGGGCAACUCCAGCCAAAGGCUUGCAAAGUGGGGAUGCCCUGCAUCCUGGCUAUGGAGCAGGCAAGGAAGAACAUGGCAGCUGGAUUUUACCCCCAACCCAACAGACCUUUUAUUUAGUUAUCUAAUUCAGUUAUAGAAUGUGAAUAGAUUAUCAAGAAAAUAUAUUAUAAACAAAAUUGAAUAAGAAAAGGUAGAUCUGUAGACUGAUCCUAAUCUGGGUAGUUAUAUUGUAUUUAUUUUCCCCUGACAGUGCAGGUAAAGAUGCCACUGGUCAAGUCCUUAGAUAUGGACAGGACUUUUACCUUGGAAUAACA